CGAAGGGGGCUAGCGUUGCUCGGAAUCACUGGGCGUAAAGCGCACGUAGGCGGAUUGCUAAGUCAGGGGUGAAAUCCUGGAGCUCAACUCCAGAACUGCCUUUGAUACUGGCGACCUUGAGUCCGGGGAGAGGUGAGUGGAACUGCGAGUGUAGAGGUGAAAUUCGUAGAUAUUCGCAAGAACACCAGUGGCGAAGGCGGCUCACUGGCCCGUAACUGACGCUGAGGCACGAAAGCGUGGGGAGCAAACAGG
rnacentral:rRNA from 1 species